rnacentral:lncRNA from 1 species
AGCUGGAAGAGAAGAAGGAGAGGAAGAUGAGCAGGGGAGGAAGAAGAGGUUGCGGCCGUGGCUGCGGCCGCGACUGCAGCAAUUGCAGCUGGGAAAGAAGAGAAGGAAAGGAAGACGAAGAGAAAGGGAAGGAGAGGAAGAAGAGAGGAAGAAGAGAGGAAGAGGAGAAGGGGUGGCAGCUGCGGCAGUGGCAGCUGCAGCCGGAAGAGAAGGAGAGGAAAUAGAGCAGGGGAGGAAGAAGAGGCUGCGGCUGUGGUGGCUGCGGCCAUGGCUGCGA